rnacentral:rRNA from 1 species
CGAACGAUGAUGCCCAGCUUGCUGGGCGGAUUAGUGGCGAACGGGUGAGUAAUACGUGAGUAACCUGCCCUUGACUCUGGGAUAAGCCUGGGAAACUGGGUCUAAUACUGGAUACUACCUCUUACCGCAUGGUGGGUGGUGGAAAGGGUUUUACUGGUUUUGGAUGGGCUCACGGCCUAUCAGCUUGUUGGUGGGGUAAUGGCUCACCAAGGCGACGACGGGUAGCCGGCCUGAGAGGGUGACCGGCCACACUGGGACUGAGACACGGCCCAGACUCCUACGGGAGGCAGCAGUGGGGAAUAUUGCACAAUGGGCGGAAGCCUGAUGCAGCGACGCCGCGUGAGGGAUGACGGCCUUCGGGUUGUAAACCUCUUUCAGUAGGGAAGAAGCGAGAGUGACGGUACCUGCAGAAGAAGCGCCGGCUAACUACGUGCCAGCAGCCGCGGUAAUACGUAGGGCGCAAGCGUUGUCCGGAAUUAUUGGGCGUAAAGAGCUCGUAGGCGGUUUGUCGCGUCUGCUGUGAAAGCCCGGGGCUCAACCCCGGGUCUGCAGUGGGUACGGGCAGACUAGAGUGCAGUAGGGGAGACUGGAAUUCCUGGUGUAGCGGUGAAAUGCGCAGAUAUCAGGAGGAACACCGAUGGCGAAGGCAGGUCUCUGGGCUGUUACUGACGCUGAGGAGCGAAAGCAUGGGGAGCGAACAGGAUUAGAUACCCUGGUAGUCCAUGCCGUAAACGUUGGGCACUAGGUGUGG